AUGCUGGCUUUGGCAGCACAUGUACUAAAAUAAGAUCAAUACAGAGAAGGCUAGCAAGGUCCCUCCACAAAGAUGGCAUACACAUUUGUGAAGAGUUCCAUACUUCA
rfam:Erinaceus europaeus unplaced genomic scaffold scaffold00216, whole genome shotgun sequence